rnacentral:rRNA from 1 species
CGGUGGCACGCCCGUUUUGGCCAUCAGCACUUUGAUGGGCUUGCAAGGUUGGCUCGUCAGGGCAUGGUGCACGGGCUGCCAUUGAUCGAUCACAGUGAGCAGGUCUGCGACGCUUGUCUUGUUGGAAAGCAGCGCCGAGUCCCGUUCCCGAAGCAAGCAAGGUUUCGCGCCUCACAACCACUGGAGCUAGUUCACGGCGAUUUGUGCGGACCGAUCUCGCCGGCGACGCCAAGUGGAAGGAAGUACUUCCUCCUCCUUGUGGACGAUUACAGCAGGUACAUGUGGCUGUCCUUGUUGCACAGCAAAGAUGAAGCCGCAGAGUCCAUUCGCAGAUUCCAGGCGAGAGUUGAGCGAGAAACAGGUUGCAAGCUCAAGACGCUCAGGACAGAUCGAGGCGGGGAAUUCAACUCAAAUGACCUCACAGCCUACCUCGCUGAUCUCGGUGUCCAGCGACACCUCACUGCUCCUUACACGCCUCAACAGAACGGCGUGGUAGAGCGGCGAAAUCAGACAGUGGUGGGAACGGCGAGAUGCAUGAUGAAGGCCAUGGGAGUUCCUGCUCGGUUUUGG